rnacentral:rRNA from 1 species
AUUGAACGCUGGCGGCAGGCUUAACACAUGCAAGUCGAGCGGAGAUGAGGUGCUUGCACCUUAUCUUAGCGGCGGACGGGUGAGUAAUGCUUAGGAAUCUGCCUAUUAGUGGGGGACAACAUUCCGAAAGGAAUGCUAAUACCGCAUACGUCCUACGGGAGAAAGCGGGGGACCUUCGGGCCUUGCGCUAAUCGAUGAGCCUAAGUCGGAUUAGCUAGUUGGUGGGGUAAAGGCCUACCAAGGCGACGAUCUGUAGCGGGUCUGAGAGGAUGAUCCGCCACACUGGGACUGAGACACGGCCCAGACUCCUACGGGAGGCAGCAGUGGGGAAUAUUGGACAAUGGGCGGAAGCCUGAUCCAGCCAUGCCGCGUGUGUGAAGAAGGCCUUUUGGUUGUAAAGCACUAUAAGCGAGGAGGAGGCUACUAGUACUAAUACUACUGGAUAGUGGACGUUACUCGCAGAAUAAGCACCGGCUAACUCUGUGCCAGCCGCCGCGGUAACAC